rnacentral:rRNA from 1 species
AGAGUUUGAUCCUGGCUCAGAUUGAACGCUGGCGGCAGGCCUAACACAUGCAAGUCGAGCGGCAGCGGGAAAGUAGCUUGCUACUUUUGCCGGCGAGCGGCGGACGGGUGAGUAAUGCCUGGGAAAUUGCCCAGUCGAGGGGGAUAACAGUUGGAAACGACUGCUAAUACCGCAUACGCCCUACGGGGGAAAGCAGGGGACCUUCGGGCCUUGCGCGAUUGGAUAUGCCCAGGUGGGAUUAGCUAGUUGGUGAGGUAAUGGCUCACCAAGGCGACGAUCCCUAGCUGGUCUGACAGGAUGAUCAGCCACACUGGAACUGAGACACGGCC